rnacentral:lncRNA from 1 species
AUCCGAUCCGUUUGCCACCACUAUCUGACAUCAGAUCAAAUUUACCUUCGAGCCUUGCAAAAUAUUUUGUUUUUUAAUCUUUUGGGAUGUAUUUAUGCUAGAUCAGUGCAAACAUCCUCUCUUUUGUAUCCAAAAAAAGAAAAAAAGAAACUGGAUGAGGAGUAAAGCAUAUAAAUAUAUCCAAACAGCAAAGUAUAGAAGACCAUAGUUGGAGUAUAUCUGGGGAACAAAAGGCAACUCCUACUGAAUUAGCAUUGCAAAUCUGAAGAAAAUGCCGUGGAGAAGAUAUGUUGAUAACUUGGAUCCAGAAGCAGAAAAGCGCUUCAGCAGUGAUUUUAUGAUUGUAAUAAGAGAAAGGACUUCUGAAGCUAUUUCAUGUUGAAUUUCUAUGAAGCUUGUGUGGAAGUUGCAAGGUGACAAA